ensembl:lncRNA
AGAGAGGGAAGUGGUGGGAGAAAGAGUGAAACAGACUGGAAGAGGAAAGAUGAAACAGACUGCCAGAGGAAGAGUGAAACAGACUGCCAGAGGAAGAGUGAAACAGACUGCCAGAGGAAGAGAGAGGGAAGGGGAGGGAGAAAGAGUUAAACAGACUGCCAGAGGAAGAGAGAGAAACAGACUGCCAGAGGAAGAGAGAGAAACAGACUGCCAGAGGAAGAGAGAGAAACAGACUGCCAGAGGAAGAGAGAGAGAAACAGACUGCCAGAGGAAGAGAGAGAAACAGACUGCCAGAGGAAGAGAGAGAGAAACAGACUGCCAGAGGAAAGAGAGAGAAACAGACUGCCAGAGGAAGAGAGUGAAACAGACUGCCAGAGGAAGAGGAAG